rnacentral:rRNA from 1 species
GACGAACGCUGGCGGCGUGCUUAACACAUGCAAGUCGAACGGUAAGGCCCUUCGGGGUACACGAGUGGCGAACGGGUGAGUAACACGUGGGUGAUCUGCCCUGCACUUCGGGAUAAGCCUGGGAAACUGGGUCUAAUACCGGAUAGGACCACUGCCUGCAUGGGUGGUGGUGGAAAGCUUUUGCGGUGUGGGAUGGGCCCGCGGCCUAUCAGCUGGUUGGGGGGGUGAUGGCUUACCAAGGCGACGACGGGUAGCCGGCCUGCGAGGGUAACCGGCCACACUGGGACUGAGAGACGGCCCAGACUGCUCCAGGAGGCAGCAGUGGGGAAUAUUGCACACUGGGCGCAAGCCUGAGGCAGCGACGCCGCGUGGGGGAUGACGGCCUUCGGGUUGUAAACCUCUUUCAGCACCGACGAAGCGCAAGUGACGGUAGGUGCAGAAGAAGGACCGGCCAACUACGUGCCAGCAGCCGCAGUAA